rnacentral:rRNA from 1 species
CAUAUCAAUAAGCGGAGGAAAAGAAACCAACAGGGAUUGCCCUAGUAACGGCGAGUGAAGCGGCAACAGCUCAAAUUUGAAAUCUGGCCCUCUUGGGGGUCCGAGUUGUAAUUUGCAGAGGGUGCUUUGGCGUCGGCUGUGGUCUAAGUUCCUUGGAACAGGACGUCGCAGAGGGUGAGAAUCCCGUAUGUGGCCGCCAGCCUUCGCCGUGUAAAGCCCCUUCGACGAGUCGAGUUGUUUGGGAAUGCAGCUCUAAAUGGGAGGUAAAUUUCUUCUAAAGCUAAAUAUCUGCCAGAGACCGAUAGCGCACAAGUAGAGUGAUCGAAAGAUGAAAAGCACUUUGGAAAGAGAGUCAAACAGCACGUGAAAUUGUUGAAAGGGAAGCGCUUGCAGUUAGACAUGCCGUUAGUUGCUCAGCCGGGCUCUUUGGCCCGGUGCACUCUUCUAUCGGCAGGCCAGCAUCAGUCUGGGCGGUCGGAUAAAGGCCUAUUAAACGUGACUCCCCUCGGGGAGAGCUUAUAGGGUAGGCGCCAUGCGACCAGCCUGGACUGAGGUCCGCGCAUCUGCUAGGAUGCUGGCGUAAUAGCUGCAAGCGGCCCGUCUUGAAACACGGACCAAGGAGUCUAACAUCUAUGCGAGUGUUUGGGUGUCAAGCCCGGGCGCGUAAUGAAAGUGAACGGAGGUGGGAUCCCUUCGGGGUGCACCAUCGACCGAUCCUGAUGUCUUCGGAUGGAUUUGAGUAAGAGCAUAGCUGUUGGGACCCGAAAGAUGGUGAACUAUGCCUGAAUAGGGUGAAGCCAGAGGAAACUCUGGUGGAGGCUCGCAGCGGUUCUGACGUGCAAAUCGAUCGUCAAAUUUGGCAUAGGGGCGAAAGACUAAUCGAACUAUCUAGUAGCUGGUUCCUGCCGAAGUUUCCCU